CCUACGGGAGGCAGCAGUGGGGAAUAUUGCACAAUGGAGGGAACUCUGAUGCGGCAAUGCCGCGUGGGUGAAGAAGCACUCCGGUGCGUAAAGCCCUGUCAGCAGGGAAGAAAAUGACAGUACCUGACCAAGACGGCACGGAUAACUACGUGCCAGAAGGCGCAGUAAUACGUAGGGGGCAAGCGUUAUACGGAGUUACUUGGUGUAAAGGGGGCGCAGGCGGUAUGGCAAGUCAGAUGUGAAAACCCAGGGCACAACCCUGGGACUGGAUGUGAAACUUCCAUACUGGAGGUCCGGAGGGGUAAGCGGAAUGUCUGGUGUAGCGGUGAAAUGCGUAGAUAUUAGGAGGAACACCAGUGGCGAAGGCGGCCUGCUGGACAUUAACUGACGCUGAGGCGCGAAAGCGUGGGGAGCAAACAGGAUUAGAUACCCCAGUAGUC
rnacentral:rRNA from 1 species